rnacentral:tRNA from 1 species
GGGGCUGUGGCGCAGUUGGUAGCGCGUCUCGUUCGCAACGAGAAGGUCGCCGGUUCGAAUCCGGUCAGCUCCACCG